GACGAACGCUGGCGGCGUGCUUAACACAUGCAAGUCGAACGAAGUGGCGGACGGGUGAGUAACGCGUAAUCAACCUGCCCUUCAGAGGGGGACAACCGUUGGAAACGAUUGCUAAUACCGCAUCCUGAAGGCGUGGAUUGCGUCUGAUUAGCUAGUUGGCGGGGUAACGGCUCACCAAGGCGAUGAUCAGUAGCCGGUCUGAGGGGAUGAACGGCCACAAUGGGACUGGGACACGGGCCAGACUCCUACGGGAGGCAGCAGGGGGGAAUCUUCCGCAAUGGACGAAAGUCUGACGGAGCAACGCCGCGGGAGGGAUGACGGCCUUCGGGUUGUAAAGCUCUGUUAAGCGGGACGCGGUACCGGAAUAGAAAGCCACGGCUAACUACGUGCCAGCAGCCGCGGUAAUUC
rnacentral:rRNA from 1 species